rnacentral:rRNA from 1 species
GAUGAACGCUGGCGGCGUGCCUCAAACAUGCAAGUCGAGCGGGGCUAUGUAAUAUCGCAAGGUAGAACAUAGCCUAGCGGCGAACGGGUGAGUAACACGUGGGUAACCUGCCUGGAAGACAGGGAUAACGAUUCGAAAGGGUCGCUAAUACCUGAUAAUAUCCUUUCAUCGCAUGGUGAUAGGAAGAAAGGGGAAACCCGCUUUCAGAUGGGCCCGCGUCCCAUCAGCUAGUUGGUAAGGUAAAGGCUUACCAAGGCGACGACGGGUAGCCGGUCUGAGAGGAUGUACGGCCACACUGGGACUGAGAUACGGCCCAGACUCCUACGGGAGGCAGCAGUUGGGAAUCUUAGGCAAUGGACGAAAGUCUGACCUAGCGACGCCGCGUGAGGGAAGAAGGCCUUCGGGUUGUAAACCUCUGUCAUGGGGGAAGAAGUAAGUGACGGUACCCCAAGAGGAAGCCCUUGCUAACUACGUG